rnacentral:rRNA from 1 species
UAGGGAAUCUUCCGCAAUGGACGCAAGUCUGACGGAGCAACGCCGCGUGAGUGAAGAAGGAUUUCGGUUCGUAAAACUCUGUUGUUAGAGAAGAACAGCGCAUAGAGUAACUGUUAUGCGUGUGACGGUACCUAAUCAGAAAGCCACGGCUAACUACGUGCCAGCAGCCGCGGUAAUACGUAGGUGGCAAGCGUUAUCCGGAAUUAUUGGGCGUAAAGCGCGCGUAGGCGGUUUUUUAAGUCUGAUGUGAAAGCCCACGGCUCAACCGUGGAGGGUCAUUGGAAACUGGAGAACUUGAGUGCAGAAGAGGAAAGUGGAAUUCCAUGUGGAGCGGUGAAAUGCGCAGAGAUAUGGAGGAACACCAGUGGCGAAGGCGACUUUCUGGUCUGUAACUGACGCUGAUGUGCGAAAGCGUGGGGAUCAAACAGG